ensembl:snRNA U6 U6 spliceosomal RNA
GUGCUUGAUUCAGCAGCACAUAGAUUAAAAUGGGAAAGAUACAGAUUCGCAUGGCCCCUGUGUAAGGAUGAUAGGCAAAUUUGCAAACUGCUCCCUAUUUUU